UACGGGGGGGCAAGCGUUGUUCGGAAUUACUGGGCGUAAAGGGCUCGUAGGCGGCCAACUAAGUCAGGACGUGAAAUCCCUCGGCUUAACCGAGGAACUGCGUCUGAUACUGGAUGGCUUGAAUCCGGGAGAGGGAUGUGGAAUUCCAGGUGUAGCGGUGAAAUGCGUAGAUAUCUGGAGGAACACCGGUGGCGAAGGCGGCAUCCUGGACCGGUAUUGACACUGAGGAGCGAAAGCCAGGGGAGCAAACGGG
rnacentral:rRNA from 1 species